CGUGCAGGCGGUUUGGUAAGUUGGAUGUGAAAGCUCCUGGCUCAACUGGGAGAGGUCGUUCAAUACUACCAGGCUUGAGAGUGGUAGAGGGAGGUGGAAUUCCCGGUGUAGUGGUGAAAUGCGUAGAUAUCGGGAGGAACACCAGUGGCGAAAGCGGCCUCCUGGACCAUUUCUGACGCUCAGACGCGAAAGCUAGGGGAGCAAACGGGAUUAGAGACCCCGGUAGUCCUAGCUGUAAACGAUGUGAACUUGGCGUCGGUGGUGUAAAACCAUCGGUGCCGCAGCCAACGCGAUAAGUUCACCGCCUGGGGACUACGGCCGCAAGGUUAAA
rnacentral:rRNA from 1 species